GAUGAACGCUGGCGGUAUGCUUAACACAUGCAAGUCGAACGGACUCUUCGGAGUUAGUGGCGGACGGGUGAGUAACGCGUGAGAAUCUGGCUUUGGGUUCGGGACAACCACUGGAAACGGUGGCUAAUACCGGAUGUGCCGAGAGGUAAAAGAGAAAUUGCCUGAAGAUGCGCUCGCGUCUGAUUAGCUAGUUGGUGAGGUAAAGGCUCACCAAGGCAGCGAUCAGUAGCUGGUCUGAGAGGAUGACCAGCCACACUGGGACUGAGACACGGCCCAGACUCCUACGGGAGGCAGCAGUGGGGAAUUGUCCGCAAUGGGCGAAAGCCUGACGGAGCAAUACCGCGUGAGGGAAGAAGGCUCUUGGGUUGUAAACCUCUUUUCUUAGGGAAGAACAAAAUGACGGUACCUAAGGAAUCAGCAUCGGCUAACUCCGUG
rnacentral:rRNA from 1 species